rnacentral:rRNA from 1 species
UACGAAGGGGGCUAGCGUUGUUCGGAAUUACUGGGCGUAAAGCGUGCGCAGGCGGCUUCUCAAGUCAGGGGUGAAAGCCCAGAGCUCAACUCUGGAAUUGCCUUUGAGACUGAGUGGCUUGAGUACGAGAGAGGUGAGUGGAAUUCCCAGUGUAGAGGUGAAAUUCGUAGAUAUUGGGAAGAACACCGGUGGCGAAGGCGGCUCACUGGCUCAUUACUGACGCUCAGGCGCGACAGCGUGGGGAUCAAACAGG